AGGAUAAACGCUGGCGGCGUGCCUAACACAUGCAAGUCGAACGUCUCCUCUUUUGGGAAGAGGAGUGGCGGACGGGUGAGGAACACGUGGGAACCUGCCCUACAGUGAGGAAUACCGGCGAGAAAUCGCCGACAAGACCGCAUAGCCCUCUCUGGUGAGAGCCAGAGAAGGAAAGCUUCGCAAGAGGCGCUGGAGGAGGGGCCUGCGUCCGAUUAGCUAGUUGGUGGGGUAAGAGCCUACCAAGGCGUCGAUCGGUAGCUGGUCUGAGAGGACGAUCAGCCACACUGGGAUUGAGAACGGCCCAGACUCCUACGGGGGGCAGCAGUGAGGAAUUUUCGGCAAUGGGGGAAACCCUGACCGAGCAACGCCGCGUGCAGGAAGACGGCCUUCGGGUUGUAAACUGCUUUUCUUUGGGACGAGCAAGGACGGUACCAGAGGAUCAGCCCGGCUCACUACGUGCCAGCAGCCGC
rnacentral:rRNA from 1 species